rnacentral:rRNA from 1 species
ACUCAAAUGAAUUGACGGGGACCUGCACAAGCGGUGGAGCGUGUGGUUUAAUUCGUCAAUAAGCGGAGAACCUUACCAAGGAUUGACAUCUCUGGAACCCCCGAGAAACCGGGGGGUGCCGAAAGGAGCCAGAUGACAGGUGCUGCACGGUUGUCGUCAGCUCGUGCUGUGAAGUGUCCCGUUCAGUCGGUUAACGAGCGCAACCCUUACCCUAUGUUUCAAGUGUCAUAGGGAACUGCCCGUGUUAAGCGGGAGGAAGGUGAGGAUGACGUCAAAUCAGCGUGGCUCUUACGCCUUGGGCUACACACGCGCUACAAUGGCGUAGACAAUGGGUUGCCAACCCGCAAGGGGGAGCUAAUCCCACCAAACUACGCCCCAGUUCGGAUUGGAGGCUGCAAUUCGCCUCCAUGAAGUCGGAAUCGCUAGUAACGGCCGAUCAGCUAUGCGGCCGUGAAUACGUUCUCAGGUCUUGUACACACCGCCCGU